GUGCUAUCGCUUCGGCAGCACAUAUACUAAAAUUGGAACGAUACAGAGAAGAUUAGGCUCAAAUAUGUUCAAAUAUAUUAUCAACACUCAUGAUAGAAACAAGCUUUUA